UGUGCCAGCAGCCGCGGUAAUACGUAAGGUCCGAGCGUUGUCCGGAAUCAUUGGGCGUAAAGGGUACGUAGGCGGGUAAGCAAGUUAGAAGUGAAAUCCUAUAGCUCAACUAUAGUAAGCUUUUAAAACUGUUUAUCUUGAGGUAUGGAAGGGAAAGUGGAAUUCCUAGUGUAGCGGUGAAAUGCGCAGAUAUUAGGAGGAAUACCGGUGGCGAAGGCGACUUUCUGGCCAUAACCUGACGCUGAGGUACGAAAGCGUGGGUAGCAAACAGGAUUAGAU
rnacentral:rRNA from 1 species